CAUUACCGAGUUUACAACUCCCAAACCCCUAUGUGAACGUUACCAAACUGUUGCCUCGGCGGGAUUUCUGCCCCGGGCGCGUCGCAGCCCCGGACCAAGGCGCCCGCCGGAGGACCAAUUUACAAACUCUUUUGUAUAUCCCAUCGCGGAUUCUUUACAUUCUGAGCUUUCUCGGCGCUCCUAGCGAGCGUUUCGAAAAUGAAUCAAAACUUUCAACAACGGAUCUCUUGGUUCUGGCAUCGAUGAAGAACGCAGCGAAAUGCGAUAAGUAAUGUGAAUUGCAGAAUUCAGUGAAUCAUCGAAUCUUUGAACGCACAUUGCGCCCGCCAGUAUUCUGGCGGGCAUGCCUGUCCGAGCGUCAUUUCAACCCUCGAACCCCUCCGGGGGGUCGGCGUUGGGGAUCGGCACUUACCUGCCGGCCCCGAAAUACAGUGGCGGUCUCGCCGCAGCCUCUCCUGCGCAGUAGUUUGCACACUCGCACCGGGAGCGCGGCGCGUCCACGGCCGUAAAACAACCCAAACUUCUGAAAUGUUGACCUCGGAUCAGGUAGGAAUACCCGCUGAACUUAAGCAUAUCAAUAAGCGGAGGAAAAGAAACCAACAGGGAUUGCCCCAGUAACGGCGAGUGAAGCGGCAACAGCUCAAAUUUGAAAUCUGGCUCCUUUCGGGGUCCGAGUUGUAAUUUGUAGAGGAUGCUUUUGGUGAGGUGCCGCCCGAGUUCCCUGGAACGGGACGCCACAGAGGGUGAGAGCCCCGUCUGGCUGGCCACCGAGCCUCUGUAAAGCUCCUUCGACGAGUCGAGUAGUUUGGGAAUGCUGCUCAAAAUGGGAGGUAUAUGUCUUCUAAAGCUAAAUAUUGGCCAGAGACCGAUAGCGCACAAGUAGAGUGAUCGAAAGAUGAAAAGCACCUUGAAAAGAGGGUUAAAUAGUACGUGAAAUUGUUGAAAGGGAAGC
rnacentral:rRNA from 1 species